rnacentral:rRNA from 1 species
AUUGAACGCUGGCGGCAGGCUUAACACAUGCAAGUCGAGCGGGGGAAGGUAGCUUGCUACCGGACCUAGCGGCGGACGGGUGAGUAAUGCUUAGGAAUCUGCCUAUUAGUGGGGGACAACAUCUCGAAAGGGAGGCUAAUACCGCAUACGUCCUACGGGAGAAAGCAGGGGAUCUUCGGACCUUGCGCUAAUAGAUGAGCCUAAGUCGGAUUAGCUAGUUGGUGGGGUAAAGGCCUACCAAGGCGACGAUCUGUAGCGGGUCUGAGAGGAUGAGCCGCCAACCUUGGAAUGGGACACGGCCCAGGCUCCCUCGGGGGGCCGCCGUGGGGGAUUUUGGGACAUGGGGGGAACCCUGAUCCAGCCAAGCCGCGUGUGUGGAGAAGGCCUUAUGGUUGUAAAGCACUUUAAGCGAGGAGAAAACUACUUUAGUUAAUACCGAGGGUUAGUUGACGUUACUCGAAGAAUAAGCACCGGCUAACUCCGUG